rnacentral:rRNA from 1 species
UACGGAGGAUGCGAGCGUUAUCCGGAUUUAUUGGGUUUAAAGGGUGCGCAGGCGGAUUUUUAAGUCAGCGGUCAAAUCGUGGGGCUCAACCCCAUCCAGCCGUUGAAACUGGGGAUCUAGAGUGUGCGAGAGGUAUGCGGAAUGCGUGGUGUAGCGGUGAAAUGCAUUGAUAUCACGCAGAACCCCGAUUGCGAAGGCAGCAUACCGGUGCACAACUGACGCUCAGGCACGAAAGCGUGGGUAUCGAACAGG